rnacentral:rRNA from 1 species
AUUCCUACGGGAGGCAGCAGUGGGGAAUAUUGCACAAUGGGCGCAAGCCUGAUGCAGCGACGCCGCGUGAGGGAUGACGGCCUUCGGGUUGUAAACCUCUUUCAGUACCGACGAAGCGCAAGUGACGGUAGGUACAGAAGAAGCACCGGCCAACUACGUGCCAGCAGCCGCGGUAAUAAU